GACGGUGCCCUUAACCGGGCUUAAUAGGGAAUCCGGUGCAAACCCGGAACUGUUCCCGCAACUGUCAGCGGCGAGCCGCCGGCCACGAACCACUGGAGUCUCCCGAGAGGGAACAAGGCUCCGGGAAGGAGGCCGGAAGCAGUGACCCGCCAGUCAGGAGACCUGCCGUCGC
rnacentral:ncRNA from 1 species